GUCUGCUUUUUUGUAAAGGAUAAGAGGAAGAGGAGGAGGAAGUGGGGAGCGAGGGAAAGUGAGUGAGAGGCUGUCAAAAGUGGGGAAGCCAGUUUGCAACAUCUGGGGGUGAAGCAAUCUACAGGAGAAGGAGAACCUCAACGCUAAAGGUUUGCGCCAUCCUCCAAAUACCAUCCAUUUGGUGGCCAAAGUCCAAUCCAAGAAGAAAUCAACCUUGACCAGUUGUCCUUGCUCAAUACCAUAACAGGUAUGUACCUGUGGACAAUCAGAGGAGCUACUUCAUUCCUAUGGACCCCAAAUCAGAAUUCAACAUAUAUAUUUUAUACUAACACAGUUUAUACAUUUUUUAAAGGAAAACACCUGUGUACUAAUUGUAUGUUACUUGUUAACCUGAAACCAUGGGUGGAGACAUUAUGUAAUCUUUUUACUAUUGGCUACUGUGCUUAUCUUGUCUUGCUGCUAGACCUAUCCAGGGGUUUGGGACUGCCUACCCCCUCAUUUCCCUCCGCCCAUGGAAAAUCUAUAUAAUCCACUGUAAUCAAUUGUUUGGCAUUGUCUCUGAGCCUAAUAAGCAAGGUGACACUCCGCCAGUGCUGUGUGUAACAAACCCACAUGCUUGAUUCUA